UACAUGGGGUGCAACCGUUGCUCGGAAUUAUUGGGCGUAAAGCGCACGUAGGCGGUUUGUUAAGUCGGAUGUGAAAUCCCUCGGCUCAACUGAGGAAGUGCAUCCGAAACUGGCAAGCUUGAGUACGAAGGAGGAUCGCGGAAUUCCCGGUGUAGAGGUGAAAUUCGUAGAUAUCGGGAGGAACACCGGUGGCGAAGGCGGCGAUCUGGGUCGAUACUGACGCUGAGGUGCGAAAGCGUGGGUAGCAAACAGG
rnacentral:rRNA from 1 species